CUGGAUACAUUCUCCUAUAUAGCUAGCUAGCGCCCUGCAUAGCGCCGGCAUUGGCACUGGGUGAAACAACAUGAUAUUGCAGCAAAUGUGUUCUUCCUCACAGCACGCACGGGUGGCUGCUCGGGUGCUCUUGCUGCUUUGCUCCUGCACGCUGUUACUCAGAGGAGCCCAAGGGGGAGAGUCUGGCAAGCUUUACAUAGCCUACCUAGGCGACGUGAAGCACGGGCACCCGGAUGAUGUGAUCGCCUCCCACCAUGACAUGCUCACCAAUUAAACCCAUUAACGGUGGCGCAAAGGGCGCCCGUUCGGCUAUGCCACCGCACAGAUUUUACUGUCACAGGUAUCUACCCAGAUAACACCUCCCUCAGUUGCCUUAUUUUCACAGCCUAUCACGCGACCUCCCUCUCUCGUUUUCCACUCCCCAUCGAGGGUUGCCGCCGCCGCCCCUCCGUCGUUCGCCACCGCUGCUGCCCCAUCACUCCUCCGGCGUUGGCCACCGCAAGAAGGCUGGCUUUUCCGACGGAUCUUCUCGUCUUGGUGGCUUCCUCGUAGCAAGGUGCGUCGCUGCGCCUCCCAACGGCCCGACAGCAAGGUGGCGGCGCCGCGAGGUCUCUCCCGAGGGAUCCGCAGUACGACGAGCACAACCCAGACGAUGUUGAUGUGGUCGUCGGUGCCUCCUCCGCCACGGGAUCGAAUGGGCUGGUGGACAGGCGCGCGGCUCUACGCCCUCCUCGGUCGAGGGUUGGAUGGAGCCCUCGGCUGCGUGGGAACAGACAUCGGCAGACGCGACCCCGACGACUGUGCUCAUGGUGCUCGCUCUGAUCCCACCCGUGCUUCCACAGGUGUACCAGCUCCUCUCUGUAUAUUCUUUGAUUUUUUUCUGUUCAGUUCAUCUUUCAUGGUUAAUUCUUUGCAACAAUUUGAUAAGAUGCUGAAAUCAAAGGUGUGGCCUCUAUUUGAUGAGCAGAACACAAGGAGGAGUAUGGGUCUGCAUGUACAUAUAAGAAGAUGGCUUGAGGUGAUUUGUGUCUGUUUUCAGUUGCGUCGGCGAAGAGAUCUUCGUCAUAGACCUCAAGAAGGACGCCGUCUCCAUAGGUCUCUAGACAAACAGGUGCAAGGAGGGCUUUGUUUGCUGCAGCACAAGACAAUAGCCAGUAGAUGUUUAUAUGGCAGAUGUUUAAAUUGCCAAGGAUUGGGUUAUAUUAGUCAAUAGAGUACUGAACAUGUUGGGUUGUUGCCAGUUGCUGUAACCUACUUACCUACAUCAGAUGAUGUGAGUCUUCUUUUGGCCUGCAAACCAUAGUCAUUAUAGCUUUGCUCCAGUUUGCCAAUUUAUAGCUGAAUAUGAGCCAUCUACUUCCUGGAAGUGGUCACAUAUGGAGUAAUUUUUAGUGGCAGGGUGAAGUAAUGGUACUAGCAUUUAUAUUACUGAACAUACAGUACAUACUUUGUGUUAUUUUGCGUGCUCUCUAUGUGUUCUCGGUAUGGCGGGGGAUGCUUGGUGAUGACUCCUUAAAUGCUCUGAGUAAUAAUUGAGAAUACAUGGACAAUGUCAAA